GACGAACGCUGGCGGCGUGCCUAAUACAUGCAAGUUGAGCGCUGAAGGUUGGUACUUGUACCAACUGGAUGAGCAGCGAACGGGUGAGUAACGCGUGGGGAAUCUGCCUUUGAGCGGGGGACAACAUUUGGAAACGAAUGCUAAUACCGCAUAAAAACUUUAAACACAAGUUUUAAGUUUGAAAGAUGCAAUUGCAUCACUCAAAGAUGAUCCCGCGUUGUAUUAGCUAGUUGGUGAGGUAAAGGCUCACCAAGGCGAUGAUACAUAGCCGACCUGAGAGGGGGGUCGGCCCCAUUGGGAAUGAGACACCGCCCCAAACCCCUCCGGGAGGCAGCAGAGGGAAAUCUUGGCAAUGGACGAAAGUCUGACCGAGCAACGCCGCGUGAGUGAAGAAGGGUUUCGGAUCGUAAAACUCUGUUGGUAGAGAAGAACGUUGGUGAGAGUGGAAAGCUCAUCAAGUGACGGUAACUACCCAGAAAGGGACGGCUAACUACGUG
rnacentral:rRNA from 1 species